CCCGAUCAAUUUUUUUUUUGUCGAUCAUCCAACCGGGCAACUGGCUAGCAGGAUGAUGAUGCCAUUGGGCAUUAGUACACCCUUACAUAGGCGUAGCUCUGUGGUGGGGCGCUCAUAAAACAUGUGGGCCCCAAUUUCCUGAUUAGUCGUACAUAUUCUCUACUUUGUUUUACCGGGAACAUAUUAUACUUUUGUGUGAUCUUUUUUUUAGUAUAACCUGUAACUUCAUUCAAACUAUGUUGUGGGGGCAGGGGGAGGGGGGCGCCCAUAAAACCAGUGAUAACCAAAUUUCGAAGUUUUUUUAGGUCAACAAGUUACUUUAUUAGGGAACAAUCCUGACAGGUAUACAAAGACCAUCCCAUGGUCACUCGGCGACCAACAUCAAGUGACAAGGCGCUUCUACCUAUCUUAUGAGUAGGCGUGUGUAUUAUGUACUCUCUUUUUUAGAGGAAGUGUAUUCUGUACUAUUUUUUUGAGAAAAAAAAAGUGUAUUCUGUACUUUUUUUUUUAAGGCGUGUAUUCUGUACUCAUGAUCCGGGUCUCUUGCCUUAUGGAUAGGAAUGUAAAGUAGGUGAGUAGGGGUAUUGGGCCUUGCUUGCUGGCCCAUAAGCAAAGUUUUUUUUUUCGUGAGGGAGUUUUGUUUUAAGCCUUUCUUACAGUGCAGCUGUAGUUUUUCGCGAGUGAGUUGAUCGAUCAGGUCACGAUACAGAUCAGCAAAUCGCAGCACGUUCCAAGUUUCCAACCUCCAGUCACAAUCGGCAGUCAUGUACGACGGCAGCUCCAGUUCGCAAAAUUGUCGCUCCUCAUUUUUUUAUCAAUUUGUUCCUCAUUUUUCUUUAUCAAUUCGGUGUGCGACAUAUGCAUCGGAGGGAACUCAUCCGUUGAAAUCGUAGCUCCGUAAACAAUGGACCAGUAGACGCCGAUGCUAGCAAGGUCCACUGUGGUCUCCGCCUAACUGCACUGCUUGUUAAAGGUUAUGCCGGCAGAUGCCCACAAGACAUCAUAUCAUGU
rnacentral:lncRNA from 1 species